rnacentral:tRNA from 1 species
GGCGCCCUUGUUAGCAA